rnacentral:lncRNA from 1 species
UUUUUGUUUUCUUUUCUUUUUAGGGCCGAACCUGUGGCAUAAGGAAGUUUCUCCAGGCUAGGGGUCAAAUCAGAGCUGCAGCUGCCGGCCUGCGCCACAGCCACAGCAACGCAGGAUCCAAGCCGCAUCUGUGACCCACACUGCAUCUUGCAGCAAUACGAGAUUCCUAACCCACGGAGCGAGGCCAGGGAUUGAACCCACAUCCUCAUGGACGCUAGCUGGACUCUUAACCUGCUCAUCCACAAUGGGAACUCUAAGAGUUUUUUAAAUACUUUGAAACAGUUCAUAAAGAUACAUCACGAAGGGUGGAGCAAAGAAGCCCGCUCGGGAGUAGGGCUGAAUCUAAGUUUGAGGUACAUGGGUGUGGUUCACGCCCGGCUUUCUGCUUUUCUCUCCUUUUCAUAGUGAAAAAGCCUGAACAAUAAAACAAGAUGAAUUGAAGGAACCCACGCUGGUGUAACGUGCCAGGAAACCUCGGACUGCAGAGCCGUGGGGGAGGGACGAGACAUCAGUGAGCCUGCAUGAGAGAUGCGGAGGGCGAGAGGGCGCGUGUGGAAGCAGCAAAGGGUGAGCUCUUGCUGAAUUCUUUCAUCCACCUGAAAAGGCAAACGAGAGCCACGGGGCCCAGGAAUCCUGCAAGCCCUCCCUGAGGACGCAGGCCACGAGCAGCCAUAUGACGGGGCUCGGCUUCGGUUUGAAGCACGAGCCAGAGCGAAAGGCCAUCAGCCAGACCCAGGGCCACGGGAUCCAGAAACUGUCAUCAACCAGAGACGUGAAGGAAUCCUACCAGCGGCUGACCCGUUUCACUCAAUGUGCAAUGACCGCCAGCACAGGACAUCUGGGGCUGCGUGACUGUGAGUGUGCUGUGACAGGACUCAGGGAAGAAGGGGGAGGCGUCACAGCACCACCCAGGGGCUGAGAGCGCCCAGGACCUGCUGGCAGCCACCAGGUGGCACCAGGCUUCCUUGUCAUCUCUGCAACGCACUCGACUGAGAACUAACUGCCCGGUGCAGAGUUUUGUGUUUAUUAUAAUAAAACACUGAGCUUUUAAUUUUCAUGCUUGCAGAUUAAGAUCUCUAAAGACCGGAAUUCCCGUCAUGGCGCAGUGGUUAACGAAUCAGACUAGGAACCAUGAGGUUGCGGUUCGAUCCCUGGCCUUGCUCAGUGGGUUGACGAUCCGGCGUUGCCCGCCGGAUCCUUAACCCACUGAGCAAGGGCGGGGACCGAACCCGCAACCUCAUGGUUCUUAGUCGGACUCGUUAACCACUGCGCCACGACAGGAACUCCGUCCAGCUACAGGAUUUCUAAAACCCAGACAUCCAGCAUUGUCACUGCAGUGGCUUGGGUCACUGCUGUGGCUGGGGUUCAAUCCCAGGCCCGGGAACUUCCAUGUGCCGUGGGCAUGGCCUUAAAAAAAAAAAAGGUAAGUCUGAGGCAAGUUCAGCCUAGAAAAAUGUUCACAGUUCCAUACACAGUUAAGCCUUACACUAUUUUUCACCCUUAACGCUACUCAAGAAUUGCAACGUUUCUGAAGAGUUCAAGCAUCACAGAAGACUACACGCAGUUAUCACCCGGACUGUGCCACUGAAAUUCCAGAUCCGCACAUCUGACCGCAUCAGCGGGGUGAGCCCGGGGCUCGGCACGCGGCAGGCCUCGCGAGUAAAAGGGUGUGCCUGGGGAACACCUUCCCCAGGGGCCAGGGGCAGGCACUUUGGUUCUUUGUUUUCUGAAGAGAACCCAGCAGAGGGGCUAGAGAACUCAAAGGCACUCUGACCAUCCACUUCUUCACAAACUCCCAGCAAAGACCGCGCGAGCCUCCCGCCGUGGAAGCAGCAACACGAGCCACACAAAGGCAAGGUGAGGUUCAUUCCAGCGGCGUCCACCUUCCUCACCGUAAAACCUCGCACAUCAGGGCAGACUAUCAGGUCGGUUCCGCUCUUCUGUGCAUUUUUUCAGGGAACAAAAGCCUCUGGUGAACGUUAAGUGGUCGUAAUAAUAGAAAAUAACGGCAACCACACUGCGACAUACAUACUUCAUACCAAAGUGGGGAGGAAUUUUAACUAACGAAUGCAUUUUUCUUGCCUAUUUCUGAAGUUGUAGUUUCCUGCUCUGGUUCAUUAAUUAAUCCAGACGCUACGGGGCUUAAACUUUUAGCUGAAAUAUUACCCUCCUUUCUUCCUGAUGUAAAAUAGUUAACGACAGGUUAGAACAUUGCACACGUUUUUGCGUUUGGUUGACCUGGUUGGGAAUUAUGCCAAGGUCACCAACUAACCGCCCCAUCCACUCAACGGUCGGCUCCCAGCCUCCGGGGGCCCCUUGGAAGCUCCCUCUUCUGGAAGGUCCUUCCCUGGGCUUGCAGGACGCCCGCCGGCUCUCCAAACCCCUCCAACUUGCCGGCCUCUCUCCCCUCUGCCACAACCGCCCCGCUUCUCCGACCCUGAAUCCCGGGCUCCACGCUCCCCCAGCUUAAUUACUGCAGGAAGGUCCAGGCCCACACAUCCGCCCGCCGCCCCAACACCUCCACCUGUUUCACAGGCAUCUGGAACGUGAGGCACUGCCCCCCGGCCCACUAGCCAGUCCCCCCCAGAUCCUUCUCCACGGCCAUCAGCACCACGGUGGGGGUGCCGGCCCCCCCAGAUCCAGCCUUCCUUCUACUCGUCUCCAGCAGGUGCCAUCCGCGUCCUCCCUUCCGUAACAGCCCACCCCAGACUCCCCGCCUGUGACACUCGGGUCCCGGCCGCCACAGCCACUCACCCACCUAUCUCAGCAGCCACCUGACUGCCCUCUGGCCUCCGGCCCAGCCCCGCUGCAUUUUUAACUCAUGUCAAGCCCUGAGUCAGAGCCUGUCCCUGUCCCGCUGGACAUCCUCCGGAGACUUGCGAUCAGUCACCGUAAACACCUGGCGGACACGGCCCGGCCCCAGCCUGCCUGCUCCCAUCUCUUUCCCCCUCUCUGCCCCAGACAAACCAGGCUGCCUGCCCCUCAAAAGGCAAGCCUGUCCCCAGCUCAGGGCCUCUGGCUAUCCCUGGACACCUGCCGGUCACGUGCUCCUUGACCCUGCUCAGCGCUCUGUCCAGACAGCCCUCCGAGGGGCCACCGCUGCCCCCACACCGCGUGCCCUCGUUUUCCUUCAAGGGACUCAUGGCCGGGAUCGUGAGCGUGUCCGCCCUGCGUGUUUCUCAUCAUCUGCUGCUGCCUCUGGACCACGCUCUCCGGGAAGGCAGGGACGGCACCCAAUCGGCGGAAAAAAUACAAGAAGGCUCAAAUGGACGGCUCGGCUAGUGACAGACGGACAGAAAGGCAGUCUGUGCGUGGCUGGGGGCAGGGGCGCCUGCAGCUCUGNNNNNNNNNNNNNNNNNNNNNNNNNNNNNNNNNNNNNNNNNNNNNNNAGCAGGACCACAUCGCUGCUGCACCACCCCGAGCUCCACCUGCUCCGUGACCAAACAGAGGCAAAGGGUCCGGCAGCUGCGGGUUUCAACGCUCAAACACGCACUCAAGGGCUCCACCGGGGCGCCGGCUUACCAAGCUGUUUCACCGUAUGUUCCUUCUUAGCUUUGCUGUAGCAAGAGUUACGUUCUUUCUCGGUGAGGAGACUAUUGCCACUGGUUCUAGAGUCCCUUCUUCCUGACGUGAAAUUGCACAAUGAAAAUGCACGGUAAACGCAAUGUGCAACACUGCACAGCACCCAACAAAUGAAAUUCAAAUGCACUAACUCAAAGUGAUUCGUUCUGCUACAAUACACUAGUUGAGAAUAAACAAAAUUAUCAUGUGCUUGUGCAGAAUGGUUUUUGGAUCCUAUGGGGUUCUAGAAUGGUUUUAAGAUUCUUUUUUUUUGUCUUUUUAGGGCUGCACCUGUGGCAUAUGGAGGUUCCCAGGCUAGGCGUCCAAUCGGAGCUAUAGCUGCUGGCCUACACCACAGCAACACCAGGUCCAAGCCACGUCUGUGGCUAGAUUUAAGAUACCCCAGCUCAUGGGGCAAUGCCGGAUCCUUAACCCACUGAGUAAGGCCAGGGAUCGAACCUGCAUCCUCAUGGAUACAGCUACGAAAAUCAGGAAAGUGUCUAAACUGCAACAAGAAUGACUAAAAAUUAGUGAGGCAAAGAAUGAUACCAUUUCCAAAAAAAACCUAAAAGCCAAGCAAUGGAACAAUCCAGACUGACAGACACAAAAGCGCUGGCGCACACGUCUUCUCACGAGAGGGGGGAGCCCUAACCUACAGCAGAGGCGCCCCCUCCUCCCGAAUAACGAAACCCUAAGUUUAAUCAAGGGCAGUGACAUCCUGAGAGGCCCGGGCGGUCUGAGAGCUGGGGCUCCGACGCGUAAAGCGACGGUAAAAUGCACCUGCAAGAACGAGCACAUGCGACGGCUUAAAACUGUUUUCAAAAGACGAACUAGUCGUGAAAAAAGAAACAACGGAGUAAGAAGAAAAACGGAGACACCAGACUCGGACUGCAAGAGGCAUGGGGAGGGGUCACAGAGGGAAAGGCAGGGCGAGUUAGUGAGUGACCCUGGAGCGCCCGGUGGAUUAUAAAAAAUAAAUACAUUCAGAGCCCCAUUUCCCCGGGAGUUAGAACAGGCGAUAACCACAACGACGCGACAAACAGAAAACGAAACACAAACCUCCACCUCUCACGUCUCCAAAACCAACCACAGAAAAAGGCUGGCGGCUUCCAGUGCCCACAAAGUAAACACCUAGACAGGUCAGACCCAAGCGUAAUGCGAAGAAAAAACUGAAAAGGGCUUAUUUAAAAACCGGCAAACAUCUUUAGCGCACAGGACGCCCGUGCAAAUUAAGAGCAUGCUCCAUCCCUCGAACGAAUCCCUGCAGAGGGCGGGGCGGGGGGCUCAGCUCCGACCCCGCAGCUACGACCCUACGAUGGCCAGGCCUUCCGUGCCAGGAAUCACACCCUGGAGACCCAUCCCACGGAGAUCCCCCAAAGAGAGAGAAAGUUUCUGGCACAAAAAAUGUCCUUUAAGGCGUCUGUCCAUGUCAAAGAGUGGAACUUACCAUCUAAGUUUAAUUUUAAAAUGAAAAAUUCCCACUGCUGCAUGCCUGCCUCGCGUCUCUAACGUUUCCCAUUUAGGAAAAGGGUGGUUUCUCAGAAACACUGCUGCUCAAAGCAACUUCGAGUUGCCACUAAAACCCCCUACACAGCUGGCCUCCGGCAGUACUUCCCUGCAGACCGGCCCUCCCGCCCGCACACGGGUCUGUCAGAAGCGGGCACUGUCCCUGGACAAACCAGGCCAGGUCCGCGGGCUUCGGCUGCAGCUUCCGCUUUUCGUACCGUCCCUGAUGAGCUCCACUCGGUUUAAGCGCGAGGCCGUCCCUGUCUCAGGGCAGGACGCUCCUGCUGUCCGCCCUGCGGCAGGACCGAGUUGACCUACCCACUCAAGAGAAAGAGUCGGGGAGCUCCCGUCGUGGCUCAGCGGAAACGAACCCGACUCACAUUCAUGAGGAUGCAGGUUCCAUCCCUGGCCUCGCUCAGUGGGUCAGGGAUCCGGCGUUGCCCUGAGCUGUGGUAUAGGUGGAAGAUACGGCUCGGAUCCCGCCUUGCUGCAGCUGUGGUGGAGGCCGGCAGCUGCAGCUCCGUUUGGACCCCUAGCCUGGGAACCUCCAUACGCCACAGACGGGGCUCUAAAGGACAAAAAAAAGAGAAGAGAGAGAGAAAGCCAAGGAAAAACGGAUGAUUGAUGAAUAUUUCUGGAAAAUUAAAAUUCCAUCACCGCUUUUAGAUCAUAACGCAGACCUCCAGCAAAGAGGUGCUGCUCUGCCCCAGGUGUCAGGGGAUCUCACACAUGUGUGUGUGCAUGCGUGUGCGUGUACAUGUGUGUGCGCGUGUCAGAGCCCCGCAUCUUCCCCUUCACAUUCUCACGUAGUCUGUGUUCCUCCCUCCCAGGGGCAGAUGGGCUUUCCAGCCGCGGAUACUUUUUCCUACGAGACACUGUGAUUCAGGCAAAGAAUCAAGCAUCCACCGUUCCAGCUCCGUUUCUGAUACACUGUGCAGUACCUUCCACCGAAUUUCUGGACCGCCGUUUCGACGUCUUUGCUGUCACUGAGCCAGACGCUCGCGCGGAAGUCUCAGUCUUAAAGAAAAGAGAAGGAAAGGCCAUCAGCUGAGGCGCCACCCAGCAGCACGGGGAGCAGACGCGCUCGUCGAGCUCUGCUCAACCACGAGCCGCGCUUCAGAGAGGGACUGACUCCAGCUCGGAGCCACCAGCACUCGAGACUGGGCCCGGGGCUGGAACCGCCGCCACUCCAGACGCAGAAUCCACUCUUUUGUACAGCCCGAAGGUCAGCCACCCGCGGACCGUACCUUGACAACCACCGUCUCAUCAGAGGUGUUUGUGGAGACCCAACUGCUGUCACCAGGUGCAACUACCUCAACGCGUCUAAGACCCUGAGAGUAAAAACGGGCACCAUGUGUUUGCCCGGGGCAUGAGUCAGCAGCCCUCCCCC